rnacentral:rRNA from 1 species
AACGAACGCUGGCGGCAUGCCUAACACAUGCAAGUCGAACGAGACCUUCGGGUCUAGUGGCGCACGGGUGCGUAACGCGUGGGAACCUGCCCUUAGGUUCGGAAUAACUCCCCGAAAGGGGUGCUAAUACCGGAUAAUGUCUUCGGACCAAAGAUUUAUCGCCUUUGGAUGGGCCCGCGUUGGAUUAGCUAGUUGGUAGGGUAAAAGCCUACCAAGGCGACGAUCCAUAGCUGGUCUGAGAGGAUGAUCAGCCACACUGGGACUGAGACACGGCCCAGACUCCUACGGGAGGCAGCAGUGGGGAAUAUUGGACAAUGGGCGAAAGCCUGAUCCAGCAAGGCCGCGUGAGUGAUGAAGGCCUUAGGGUUGUAAAGCGCUUUUACCCGGGAUGAUAAUGACGGUACCGGGAGAAUAAGCGCCGGCUAACUCCGUG